rnacentral:rRNA from 1 species
GAGUUUGAUCAUGGCUCAGGAUGAACGCUGGCGGCGUGCCUAACACAUGCAAGUCGUACGAGAAAGGGGCUUCGGCCCUGAGUAGAGUGGCGCACGGGUGAGUAACGCGUGGGUAAUCUCCCCUUGGAUUUGGGAUAACUCUGCGAAAGUGGAGCUAAUACCGGAUGGUCUGGCUUUAAAUGAUAAGUCGGUAAAGGAUGCCUCUGCAUAUGCAUUCGUCUAAGGAUGAGCCCGCGUCUCAUUAGCUAGUUGGUAGGGUAAUGGCCUACCAAGGCAACGAUGAGUAGCUGGUCUGAGAGGAUGAUCAGCCACACUGGAACUGAAACACGGUCCAGACUCCUACGGGAGGCAGCAGUGGGGAAUAUUGCGCAAUGGGCGAAAGCCUGACGCAGCAACGCCGUGUGAGGGAUGAAGGCUUUCGGGUCGUAAACCUCUGUCAGAAGGGAAGAACGGGCAUUGGUCUAAUAGGCCUUUGUUUUGACGGUACCUUCAGAGGAAGCACCGGCUAACUCCGUGCCAGCAUCCGCGGUAC